ensembl:snRNA U6 U6 spliceosomal RNA
GCUAAUUAUUUGUUUUUACAUAUACUAACAUUGGAAUGAUACAGUGAAGAUUAGCAUGGUCCCUGUGCAAGGAUGACAUGCAAAUUUGUGAAGAUUCCAUUAAGUUA